rnacentral:rRNA from 1 species
AGUGAACGCUGGCGGUAGGCCUAACACAUGCAAGUCGAACGGCAGCACAGUAAGAGCUUGCUCUUACGGGUGGCGAGUGGCGGACGGGUGAGGAAUACAUCGGCAUCUACUUUUUCGUGGGGGAUAACGUAGGGAAACUUACGCUAAUACCGCAUACGCCCUACGGGAGAAAGCAGGGGAUCUUCGGACCUUGCGCGAUUGAAUGAGCCGAUGUCGGAUUAGCUAGUUGGCGGGGUAAAGGCCCACCAAGGCGACGAUCCGUAGCUGGUCUGAGAGGAUGAUCAGCCACACUGGAACUGAGACACGGUCCAGACUCCUACGGGAGGCAGCAGUGGGGAAUAUUGGACAAUGGGCGCAAGCCUGAUCCAGCCAUACCGCGUGGGUGAAGAAGGCCUUCGGGUUGUAAAGCCCUUUUGUUGGGAAAGAAAAGCAGCAGGUUAAUACCCCGCUGUUCUGACGGUACCCAAAGAAUAAGCACCGGCUAACUUCGUG